UGCAAGGGUACGCCUCAUCCAAUUUAAGAUUAUACAACACUUUUACAUGGACACCCUCCAGAGUGCAUAGACUGGGACUAAAGGCCACAUCAAAUUGUUGGCGAUGCAAAUCUGAGGAAGGUCACUUAGUUCACGUAUUGUGGUCCUGUGACAAAGUUCAACAAUUCUGGACAUGGAUAUAUAAUAAUAUAUGUGACAUUGCAGAGACCCAAAUUCCUUUUACCCCCAGAUUAUUUAUUCUAGGUGACCGAUCAGUUCUGUCGGGAGGGGAUAAACACAUUAAAAGUCGGGUCCAAACUAGCAUUACGAUAGGCAGGCAGAUUCUUCUCAGGAGGGUGGUGACACUUUGUUUUGUUUUUUGAUUGUUUUUUGAUUUUCUUGUAUGUUUGGUGGGCAUUGUAUGCCUAUUUUGUCAUGUCAUGUUUUGAAAAAAAAAAAAAAAAAAAAAUUGUUAAUCACAAAAACAA